AAUGAACGCUGGCGGCAUGCCUUACACAUGCAAGUCGAACGGCAGCGGACCUUCGGGUGCCGGCGAGUGGCGAACGGGUGAGUAAUAUAUCGGAACGUACCCUUCAGUGGGGGAUAACGUAGCGAAAGUUACGCUAAUACCGCAUAUUCUGUGAGCAGGAAAGCAGGGGAUCGUAAGACCUUGCGCUGAUUGAGCGGCCGAUAUCAGAUUAGCUAGUUGGUGAGGUAAAGGCUCACCAAGGCGACGAUCUGUAGCGGGUCUGAGAGGAUGAUCCGCCACACUGGAACUGAGACACGGUCCAGACUCCUACGGGAGGCAGCAGUGGGGAAUUUUGGACAAUGGGCGCAAGCCUGAUCCAGCCAUGCCGCGUGAGUGAUGAAGGCCCUAGGGUCGUAAAACUCUUUCGCUGGGGAAGAUAAUGACGGUACCCAGUAAAGAAACCCCGGCUAACUCCGUG
rnacentral:rRNA from 1 species